UGUAGGCGGUCUUUUAAGUCUGAUGUGAAAGCCCCGGGCUCAACCUGGGAAGUGCAUUGGAAACUGGGAGACUUGAGUACGGGAGAGGAGAGUGGAAUUCCUAGUGUAGGAGUGAAAUCCGUAGAUAUUAGGAGGAACACCGGUGGCGAAGGCGGCUCUCUGGACCGAUACUGACGCUGAGACGCGAAAGCGUGGGUAGCAAACAGGAUUAGAUACCCUGGUAGUCCACGCCGUAAACGAUGGUCACUAGAUGUGGGGGGUGUCGACUCCCUCCGUGUCGUAGCUAACGCGUUAAGUGACCCGCCUGGGGAGUACGACCGCAAGGCUAAAACUCAAAGGAAUUGACGGGGACCCGCACAAGCAGCGGAGCAUGUGGAUUAAUUCGACGCAACGCGAAGAACCUUACCUGGGCUUGACAUACUGCUGACCGGCGUGGAAACACGUCUUCCCUUCGGGGCAGCAAUACAGGUGGUGCAUGGCUGUCGUCAGCUCGUGUCGUGAGAUGUUGGGUUGAGUCCCGCAACGAGCGCAACCCCCGUCCCAUGUUGCCAGCAUUUAGUUGGGGACUCAUGGGAGACUGCCGGUGACAAACCGGAGGAAGGUGGGGAUGACGUCAAGUCAUCAUGCCCCUUAUGUCCAGGGCUUCGCACGUGCUACAUUGGCGCAUACAGAGGGCUGCGAUACCGCAAGGUGGAGCGAAUCCCAAAAAGUGCGUCUCGGUUCGGAUUGGGGGCUGAAACUCGCCCCCAU
rnacentral:rRNA from 1 species